GACGAACGCUGGCGGCGUGCUUAACACAUGCAAGUCGAACGGAAAGGCCCUGCUUUUGUGGGGUGCUCGAGUGGCGAACGGGUGAGUAACACGUGAGUAACCUGCCCUAGACUUUGGGAUAACUUCAGGAAACUGGGGCUAAUACCGGAUAGGAGCUCCUGCUGCAUGGUGGGGGUUGGAAAGUUUAGGCGGUUGGGGAUGGACUCGCGGCUUAUCAGCUUGCUGGUGGGGGAGUGGCUUACCAACGCUUUGACGGGUAGCCGACCUGCGAGGGGGACCGGGGACAAUAGUCCUAAGGUAGGGAGCAGACUCGAACAGGGGACAACGGGGGGAAGUCUUACCCAGUGAGAGCGCGCCGGAUACGAAAGCGUCGCGUGCGUAAUGACGGUUUUCUGGGUGAGAACCGCUUUCGGUUGUGACGAAGCUUGACUGACGGUAAUGAGAGAAGAAGCACCGGCUAACUUCGUG
rnacentral:rRNA from 1 species